GAAAUUUCAUUCGCACUAGUGAUAGCUAGUUUCCUCGGAAAGAUAUAAAAGUGUCGGGAAAAAUAUAAUUUAUAAUAUGAAUUAUUAUAUAUACAUGUAUUUUACUAAUUUUUUUGAGGAUAAGCUCAAAAAAAAGUUAAGGAUUAUUUUUAAUUAAAUUUGCUGUAUGGGCCUAAAAUUGGCCACUAUAAAAGUUUUUUAUAAAAUAGUAAUUUUAGCUUUAUAGAUAAAUAUAAUUUUAAACUAACUUUUUACGGGGACAAAAACUUUAAUUUAAAAAGUUUUAUGCCUAUGCUAGAAUGAGUAUUAAAAACUUAAUUAUAUGAAGAUUUAUUUAUUUUGUAUCUUCUUAAAAAAUAAUCAAUAAAAUUAAUUAAUUAGAAGGAACUCGGCAAAUUUAGCUGUUUCGCCUGUUUAUCAAAAACAUGGCUCUUUGGCUAUAUAAAUAUAAAGAGUCGGCCUGCCC
rnacentral:rRNA from 1 species